GUCUCUUGCUCCAGCCAGAGCUCGAGGUUAGCUCUUCACUGCCCUGUGUCUUCUUUCCAAGGGUCUCGGUGAUUCGGCCACAGCCUCAGCCUCCAUCACGCGGUGAACUGAUGGUGCUGGAAGAUUCAUAGACUCCAGGACAUUCCUGAAGCCGAGAAAAGGUUAAGUAGGGUCUGGCCUGGAAUACUCUCCUAGAUGAAGAUAGCCCAACCAUGAGCCACCUUCGAAGCAGAUGAGAUGAAAUUAAAGCUCUUCAACUCCUAAAGGCCCAGAGACUAUCACAAAAGAGGUGGGCAUGUGAGAUUGUAAGAACUGAUUUUGAGAGAUAAAAUAAGUUCAGUUUUUCUAUACAUUAAUCAUUAAUGUCAAAGGCACACUAAUGCAAGACCAGAAUAGGGGCCCCAGUGUUAGAUUAACAAGGUUUUCUUGAAGCAUUAACUGACUCCUUAAUAAAGGCUUAUAGAAGUUAUAUCUCAUGGUCAAGAUUAGAAUUUUAUAGAUUGUUCAUAACAUUUUGAAAAACAAAUUUAAUUGGCUUUAUGCUGUUUUAUUGAAGAUUAUUGUUUGGAAAAUUAAGUCUUGUCUCCCAAAGAAUGAAGGUUUUUUCUUUUUUUGUUUUUGAAAUCUUUAUUACUUUGGUCAAAUUAAUGACUUAUUUUACAAUGACCUGUGACAUCAGGUGUUUUAAAUCUUUGAUAUUUGACUGAGAUUCUUUCUGUGGAACAAAGUUCCAUCAAACUUUCCAAAAUCAAAUUAUAAAUUAUGUAUUUUUCUUACCUAAUCCUUUAAAAUAUUAUGUUCCCUAAAGUUUAAAAAUGACAUAAUUUUGCUUAUUUCUUAUAAAAAUUAUACAGAGAACGUUGUUGAAUAUGAAAUGGUGUUUGGUUUUUUUGGGCUGUGUUUGUAUAAGUAUAUUAUUGGUAUUUGUUCUAAAAUUAUGGGAAACUCCUAUAAUUCUUAUAUGACUUAGUGUACAUUAUUAGCAGUAAUUAUAAUUGCUAUAUUGCCACAGAGGUAACAAAUUUCCUUGUCAAUUGUAUCUUUGACUUUGGUUGCCUUAAAACUUUUUGUCAUUCACAGACAAUUGUAUUGUUUUGGUCCUCUUUAGAAGGUGGUUUUAUAAUCAGCUAUAAAACUCUUAACAGGUGGUCUUGAAUGCAAGUUUCUGAUAACUUUGGAGAUGGUGACAUCAGAGUAGAGGAAAAAAAUUCAGAACUCAUGGAGAGCUGAAAUGUUCAUGAAUAUUAAGCAGAACAAGGAUUAAGUGCAUGCAUUGAACUAUUAGAAGACUGAAGUAAUCUUUUUUUCUUUUUUUGAGUCGGGGUUUCACUCGGUCUUCCAGGCUGGAGUCCAGUGGUGUGAUCUCAGCUGAAUUACAGAUGCAUGCCACCACACCUGGCUAAGUUUUGUAUUUUUAGUAGAGACGGGGUUUCACCAUGUUGGUCAGGCUGGUCCAAACUCCUGACCUCAUGAUCUGCCUGCUUGGCCUCCCAAAGUGUUGGGAUUAUAGGCGUGAGCCACCGAGACCAGCUGAUCUUUUUGACUUUUUACUUAAAAUGUUGCUGAUCCUUUCUUUUGUUUUCUGAGUCAAGGAAACCUACCUUUUGAUCUAUUUACAGCUUUUAACAAGUUAGUAUACUCCUGUGAACAAAAUUUAAAGCAUAUUUAAUUCUCUCUACUUGAUUUCUCUAGAAUUUGGAAACUAUUUGUGAGUAUUCUUAACUUAUGGCAAUACAUUUAUUUGCAUAAGUGCAUUAAGAAUGUUUUUUUUUGUUUGUUUUGUUGUGUUAUUUAUUUAUUUUUUGAGACAGAGUCUCACUCUGUUGCCAGGCUAGAGUGUGGUGGCCCGAUCUUGGCUCACUGCAACCUCUGCCUCCUGGGUUCAAGCAAUCCUCCUGCCUUGGCCUCCCAGGUAGCUGGGACUACAGGCGAGCGCCACCAUGCCCAGCUGAUUUUUUAUAUUUUUAGUAGAGAUAGGGUUUCACCAUGCUGGCCACUAUGGUCUUGAUCUCUUGACCUCAUGAUUCACCCAUCUUGACCUCCCAAAGUGCUGUGAUUACAGGCAUGAGCCACCACGCCCUGCCAAGAAUCUGGUUUUUAUAAGUAACAGGACACAAUUGGAGAAACUGGUUAUUUUACCAACACUUUGACUGGAAUGGUGUUCCUUUUUUAAGGAAUCAAACUUGAUUUAUGGAGCCAAUUAAAAGCCCCUCGGGAAAACUGGAUUCAAAUCUUGUCUACAUAUUCCCUGUACUAUGACAUUUUUACUUACCACAGGUCAGAAAUCCUGAAGGUCACUUUCUGACAAACUCAGGAACCCCAGGUUUAUCUUGGAGCCUCAAGAGGAGAUAAAUUCACCCAACUCAGGUAUUUGAUGGUACAAAUCCAUGUCUGGGGUUGGCUUUUAAAAAGUAUUAUCUGAGAUUCCUUCUGUGGAACAAAGUUCCAUCGGGGAAAAAUUGUGCAAAUGUAAUAAAUUUGGAAAAACACUUUUUCAAAAACUACAGCUUAGAAAACAACAGAGAGUUCAUACUGGAGUAUGCUUUUGCAGAUGCAGUACAUGUAAAAAAAUAUUUAAUCCAUAAUUAAGUCUAUGCAAAUAUCAGAAUUUAUGGUAGAAAUAUAUAAGGCACUGACACACUUCACGUAUUCUAAAUCAGUGCUGAGUAUAGGAAAUCUAAAACUAAAGUUGGCAGAAAAAUUAUUUGUAUGUAACUUUCAGAGGAUCAGAAGGUUUUUUGCAGAAUUAUAAUUACAUUCAAAGUAUAUUUCUUGAAAAAAAUACAGAUUUUUUGAAAAGUGAAUAAUGAUGUCAUUCAACUCUGAAAUUAUUUCCUGCUGUUUCUUCAUUCCUAUUGGAGUCAAAUGUGAAAGCAUAGGAUCAAUUGUUGCUGCGUCAAAGAUGUGAGAGAUUCUUUUUGUUUUGUUUUGUUUUCUGUUUUUUUGAGAUGGAAUUUCGCUCUUUUGCCCAGGCUGGAGUGCAGUGGAAUGAUCUUGGCUCACUUCCGUCUCCGCCUUCCAGUUUCAAGUGAUUCUCCUGCCUCAGCCUACUGAGUAGUUGGGAUUACAGGUGCCUGCCACCACACCCAGCUAAUUUUUGUAUUUUUAGUAAAGAUGGGGUUUCACCAUGUUGGCCAGGCUGGUCUCAAACUCCUGACGUCAUGAUCUGCCCGCUUCAGUCUCCCAAAGUGUGAUUACAGGUGUGAGCCACCAUGCCUGGCAAGGCAUUCUUUUUUAUUAGGGGGGUGUUGUUUAUUACCUCUUCUAUAGAAAAGUAAAGACAUUAAAAUGUAAGAUGCAUAAUAAAAAUCUAAGUGGAGAGGCUCUUAUAACCUAUAAUAUUGAGUGAUGCAUCAGGUAGGUGUUCAGAGUAAUCUGCAUUAUCAUGAGAAGAAAACAUGUUUAAUUUUAUUUAAAAUUAAAUGAGUAGUAUAUUAUUGUACUAAUUGUACUAAUUUUUUCUGAGACAGAGUUUUGCUCUUGGUGCCCAGGCUGGAGUGCAUUGGCACGAUCUCUGGCUCACUGUGACCUCUGCCUCCCAGAUUCAAGUGAUUCUCCUGCCUCAGCCUCCUGAGUAGCUGGGAUUACGGGCAUGUGCCCCCAUGCCUGGCUAAUUUUGAAUUUUUAGUAGAAACAGGGUUUCUCCAUGUUGGUCAGGCUGGUCUUGAACUGCCAACCUCAGGUGAUCUGCCCACUUUGGCCUCCCAAAGUGCUGGGAUUACAGGCAUGAGCCACCGAGCCUGGCCUGAUUGUACUUUUAUAUAAUAAAAUGCAGUACAUUUAUAAAUUUUAGAUUAUGUGUGAAGUUAAUAGUUUAAUUCAACAUUUUUAACAUGUUAAAUACUAUUGUGCAUUCAAUGAAGCGUUAUUAUGCCACAAACUUUAACCUCUUUCACCUUACUCAAGGGUAUAGGUAAAAGAUGGUAACAAUAUACUGUUUAGUAAGAUAAUAGAUUAACAUCUCUAGUGAUUUUUUUUUUUUGCCAGUGGCUUUCAACUGCAAAUAAGUUAAAGAAUAUUGUUUCUGUAGGUAAAUUUUUAUUCUGUUUUUAAUCAUUUAAAUUUAUUUUAAUUUUGGUGGCUGCAUGAGUAUCUAUGCAAUAUAUGGCAUGUUUUAAUACAGGAAUACAAUAUAUAAUAAUAAUAUCAGCAUUAAGUGAGGCAUCCUUCACCUGUAGCAUUUAUCCUAUGUUUUAUAAUCCAAUUCUACACUUUUUUUUAAAUUUAAAAUGUACAAUUAAAUUGUUAUUUACUACAGGGUUAUUUUUAUGGUCAUAAUAAAAAUUAUAUAUGAGUAUAAAUAAAAUUCAUUGUUAAAUUCUUAAUAUUUUUUCAAAUUUCUUAUAUAUUUUUCUUGGAACAUGUGGCCUGUCUGCCUGCAAACACAUAAGACUUUUAGUUUUGAUUUACAUAGAGUUAAAUAUUUAUUAAUCUAAAGACAAACCUUAGGUGUAAGAAAAUUAUGGAGUAAGUGUGUUGGGAGUUUGAGACCAGCCAGACCAACGUGGAUUAACCCCGUCUCUACUAAAAACACAAAAUUAGCCGGGCGUGGUGGCAUAUGCCUGUAAUCCCAGCUACUUGGGAGGCUAAGCCAGGAGAAUCGCUUGAGCAUGGGAGGCGGAGGCGGAGGUUGCAGUGAGCCGAGAUCACGCCAUUGCACUCCAGCCUGGGCAGCAAGAGUGAAACUCUGUCUCAAAAAAAAAAAAAAAA
rnacentral:lncRNA from 10 species